rnacentral:pre_miRNA from 1 species
GAUGUACUCCCUCCGUCCCAAAUAAGUGACUCAAAAUUGACUUAGUUUUAUACUAAAGUAGUAUAAAACUGAGUCAAUUUUGAGUCACUUAUUUUGGGACGGAGGAAGUAUAAU